ACGCGGAACCCAAGCAACGGCCACCUUCUUCGACUGAUAUCCAGCUGCACUAUAUACAUACAGAGGCCGCGAUCGAAGCGCAGGACGAGAGGAAGUGCGAUUCUACGACGAUGUCGGAUGCGUACAAGAACGUAAAGGCGGGGAGGCUGACCUUCAAGGGCGGCGACCUCGCCCCCGUCAAGGCCAUCGACAAGAAGAAACACAAGAAGAAAAAUAAGAAGGCAGCGGCGGAGGUGGACGAGAACCCCACAGACGGCGCCCCCGCCAGCGGCGAGGACGCGGCGGCGGCGUCCGGCGGAGGGGUGUACACGAUCGACGCGGCGAAGCGGAUGAAGUACGAGGAGCUCUUCCCCGUGGAGACAAAGAAGUUCGGCUAUGACCCUGCCAACAAGUCCCGCACCGGCGCCCGCUCCGUCGAAGAGGCCCUCGAUGACCGCGUCCGCAAGAAGGCUGACCGCUACUGCAAGUGAUCCAUCCGCCGCUGGAUCCUCUAUUCCAGCAUUAAGGAGCACAAUCACGUUUGGAGACACUGAAAGGGGUUGAAGAGAUCGACCAAAAUUAGAGAUCAAUGAGUGGCUGUAUUCUGUUUCCUUUGGUGAUUGCAGGAGUAUCUAGAUGGCUGAUGGUUAGAAAGAGUUACUGGUGAAAAUUUGCCUGAAGCACAUGGUAGGCCUUGGAAAUUCAUGGUUGUAUAAAAAGUAGUCAACAUUUUGGUCAUGCCUUGAUUGUUAAGCACCUUAACAUGGUAUGUAGCUCACAUCUUUUUCCCAGGCUGCAAAUGGAAAAUUGAAAUCCUAAUCCAUUGUUGAGGAUGAAUCCUUUCCCCAAGUUGGUAAUCCUACUCUAGUUGAUGA